rnacentral:rRNA from 1 species
AUUGAACGCUGGCGGCAGGCCUAACACAUGCAAGUCGAGCGGAUGAAGGGAGCUUGCUCCUGGAUUCAGCGGCGGACGGGUGAGUAAUGCCUAGGAAUCUGCCUGGUAGUGGGGGAUAACGUCCGGAAACGGGCGCUAAUACCGCAUACGUCCUGAGGGAGAAAGUGGGGGAUCUUCGGAACUCACGCUAUCAGAUGAGCCUAGGUCGGAUUAGCUAGUUGGUGGGGUAAAGGGCUACCAAGGCGACGAUCCGCAACUGGUCUGAGAGGAUGAUCAGUCACACUGGAGCUGAGACGCGGUCCAGACUCCUACGGGAGGCAGCAGUGGGCAAUGUUGGACAAUGGGCGAAAGCCUGAUCCAGCCAUGCCGCGUGUGUGAAGAAGGUCUUCGGAUUGUAAAGCACUUUAAGUUGGGAGGAAGGGCAGUAAGUUAAUACCUUGCUGUUUUGACGUUACCAACAGAAUAAGCACCGGCUAACUUCGUG